UACGGGGGAUGCAAGCGUUAUCCGGAAUCAUUGGGCGUAAAGCGCCUGUAGGUUGUUUAAUAAGUCUGUUGUUAAAGACUAGGGCUCAACCCUAGAAAAGCAAUGGAAACUAUUAGACUAGAGUAUGGCAGGGGUAGAGGGAAUUUCUAGUGUAGCGGUGAAAUGCGUAGAUAUUAGAAAGAACACCAGCGGCGAAAGCGCUCUACUGGACCAUUACUGACACUCAGAGGCGAAAGCUAGGGUAGCAAAAGGGAUUAGAUACCCCUGUAGUCCUAGCAGUAAACGAUGGAUACUAGAUGUUGCCCGUUCACCGCAGUGUCAAAGCUAACGCGUUAAGUAUCCCGCCUGGGAAGUAUGCUCGCAAGAGUG
rnacentral:rRNA from 1 species